rnacentral:rRNA from 1 species
UACGAAGGGUGCAAGCGUUAAUCGGAAUUACUGGGCGUAAAGGGUGCGUAGGCGGUUAGUUAAGUCUGUUGUGAGAUCCCCGGGCUCAACCUGGGAAUGGCGAUGGAAACUGGCGGGCUGGAGUAUGGCAGAGGGGGGUGGAAUUCCGCGUGUAGCAGUGAAAUGCGUAGAGAUGCGGAGGAACACCGAUGGCGAAGGCAGCCCCCUGGGCCAAUACUGACGCUCAGGCACGAAAGCGUGGGGAGCAAACAGG